GACGAACGCUGGCGGCGUGCCUAAUACAUGCAAGUCGAGCGAAUCAAUAGGAGCUUGCUCCUGUUGGUUAGCGGCGGACGGGUGAGUAACACGUGGGCAACCUGCCUGUAAGACUGGGAUAACACCGGGAAACCGGUGCUAACACCGGAUAAUCCUUUUCCUCUCAUGAGGAAAAGCUGAAAGUCGGUUUCGGCUGACACUUACAGAUGGGCCCGCGGCGCAUUAGCUAGUUGGUGAGGUAACGGCUCACCAAGGCGACGAUGCGUAGCCGACCUGAGAGGGUGAUCGGCCACACUGGGACUGAGACACGGCCCAGACUCCUACGGGAGGCAGCAGUAGGGAAUCUUCCACAAUGGACGAAAGUCUGAUGGAGCAACGCCGCGUGGGCGAUGAAGGCCUUCGGGUCGUAAAGCUCUGUUGUUAGGGAAGAACAAGUACCGGAGUAACUGCCGGUGCCUUGACGGUACCUAACCAGAAAGCCACGGCUAACUACGUGCCAGCCGCCGCAGUAACAC
rnacentral:rRNA from 1 species